rnacentral:rRNA from 1 species
CCUACGGGUGGCAGCAGUGAGGAAUAUUGGUCAAUGGUCGCAAGACUGAACCAGCCAAGUCGCGUGAGGGAUGACGGUCCUAUGGAUCGUAAACCUCUUUUGUCGGGGAGCAAGGCCCGCCACGUGUGGCGGGAAGGAGAGUACCCGAAGAAAAAGCAUCGGCUAACUCCGUGCCAGCAGCCGCGGUAUUACGGAGGAUGCGAGCGUUAUCGGGAUUUAUUGGGUUGAAAGGGUGCGUAGGCGGAAGGUUAAGUCAGCGGUCAAAGGUUGGUGCCCAACACCGGCCUGCCGUUGAAACUGGUCGUCUUGAGUGGGCGAGAAGUAUGCGGAAUGCGUGGUGUAGCGGUGAAAUGCAUAGAUAUCGCGCAGAACUCCGAUUGCGAAGGCAGCAUGCCGGCGCUCAACUGACGCUGAGGCACGAAAGCGUGGGGAUCGAACAGGAUUAGAUACCCGGGUAGUC